CGCAAAUAACCUGCCAUCAGAUGGGACAACAAUCCGAAAGGGUUGCCAAUACCGAAUGUUGUAUGAUUGUCGCAUGGUGAUUAUACUAAAGAUUUAUCGCUGAAUGAGGGGUUUGCGUCUGAUUAGGUAGUUGGUAGGGUAAAGGCUUACCAAGCCGACGAUCAGUAACCGGUCUGAGAGGAUGAACGGUCACAUUGGAACUGAGACACGGUCCAGACUCCUACGGGAGGCAGCAGUGGGGAAUAUUCCACAAUGGGCGAAAGCCUGAUGGAGCGACGCCGCGUGAAGUGAAGAAGGGUUUCGACUCGUAAAGCUCUUUUCUUGCAGACGAAUGGCUAAUUGUAUUAGAAGAGACGGUAUGUAAGGAAUAAGCCACGGCUAACUACGUGCCAGCAGCAGC
rnacentral:rRNA from 1 species